rnacentral:miRNA from 1 species
AUCUGUAUUCUUGAGCUUGUGG